CAUUAUUGAAUCAUGUGUGCAUUAUGUCAUCAUCUGACACCUGCUGCAUUCAGGGAAUUGCCAGCAUGGGCUCACUCCAGCUGUCCCUGCCUGGUUCUCUGGAGUUGGCACUCCUACCUUCAAUGCAUCGAUUUGAAUCAUUAUUUCCAAACCCAGACGUCUGACUGCCAGCUGUGUCUACUUAUUUUUACUAUCCCUUAUACAGGCUGUUGCCUAUAAGUCUUCAGAAGCUUGGCGAUGGCUUUCUUUGACUUUCUUUAUUGAUGACUGCCCAGAAGGGCCCACACCGGUGUGAGUGGUACAGGGGAUGCAGGGAACGCAAGCCCAGGCAACCCCCCUCCCACGAGCCUCCCUACAAUUCCAGCAGUCUGUCCUGCCCCCCUAUCUGGAGUAGCCAAGAACUUAGGUUUGUGCUGAGCAUUUUUGAAGAGGCAGCAGGAAGGCCAGAAGCACAUCCUGCUAUCACAAAAUAAUACUCCAUCUUUCAGGAUCGUGAAAAUUUGAGUUAUAAAUUACGUGAUACAGAUUCUAAAUUAUGCAAGACUUCACAAGAGGUCAGGUGAAGGCUGGAUGGCCUCAGAAGGAUGGCUUCAGAAGGCCUUCAGAAGGAUUGCUACAAUUCAUCAUGCACAAGGUGUUGAGGGUCUGGAGCAGGGAAGGAAUCGGGGGCAUCUGAAUGGAGAAAUGGGGACUUGAUGGAGGAUUCAUGAAAUGAUUUUUAGGAUACUUGAGGGCUUGGGAGGAAUACACACAGUCUGGAAAGUCCCCCUGCUUAAGGGUGCCACAAUCCAGCUCCCGGAGGCAUCCAGAUGAAGCAAAAGGCAGCUGGAGAACAAAUACAAAAAUCUUAAUUAAAAGACCGUUUUGUGAGGUCUUCAACUUCUUCUCCAUUUCACCAACACGCUGCACAGUCUGUGUAUUCAGCGUCACCAAAGAGAUUUUUAAUUCAUCAGCCUGGUUUUUGUGGAUUGUUCGUUGCCUUCUCAGUGCUGUAACACAUAGAGACACUGGUACAGGCAUUAGGAAGGAUGGGAGAAGAUACCAAAUGGUAUAAGACAUGGUCUGGUAUUUCCAGGGAUAGGAUCAUCCAUUUAGGAAAACAGCUACAUAGAGACAUGCACAACAUUACAAAGAAACUCGAGAAAUUUCACAGAAAACAGCACAUAAUCAAUUGUCAAGUGGGAUCCCUGGAUAGUAACUUCAGGAAAGAGGAAUGUCUGUGAGUGAGCACACCAAGGCCAGGGCACGAGACGCCAGGGCUCCCUGCUGACAGUAGGAUAAUGCACUUCUCUGCUCAUCUCCUAACCACACUUGGAAAAGCCAUCCAAGCCAAGGCGAUUGUGAUGGUGCAGAUUCCAACUGCUGAGGAAGAACACCCUGGCUGGUGACUUUGCCCCUAGUCCUUGUCUAUCUAGUCCUCACAAACAUUAAUCUUCAAUGUUGUAUACAAAAGCAGACAGAAUUCUGCAUUUCAAGGACUCUAUUUCUGUCUUAAAAGUGGCAUGCAGGCUUGGAGGAUGCCAAAGAACAAAAAAUGCCAUGCAGAAUACUAGAGAGGGAUUUUAUUUGCAUUAAAUGAAAAAGAAUGAGUUCUCCAUCAAUGCCCUACUUCUUUCUUCAUAUACCACAUUCCCACCCACUCCUAUUCUAUUCCAGACCCUCACCACCUUGUGACAUAUAUUGCCACAACCCUUCUGAAAGCCUCCCUCAUCGGAAAAUCCAAAAUCUGAAAUGCUUCAAAUCUGAAGGUUUCUGAGCACCGACAAGACCCAAGUGGAAAAUUUCACACCGGACCUCAUUUGAUGCGUCACAGUCAAAACGUAGUCAAAGCUUUGUUACAUGCACAAAAUUCUUUAAAAUAUUGUAGAAAAUUACCCUCAGGCUAUGUGUACAAAGUGUAUCAGAAACGUAAAUGGUUUUCUUGUUUAGACUUGGGUUCCGUCCCCUGAGAUAACAUCAUUGUGGAUAUGUAAACAUCCCAAAAUCCCAAAAAAAAAAAAAUUAGAAAUUCAAAAUACUUCUGGUCCCAAGCAUUUUGGAUAAGGAAUACUCAGCCUAUAUCUCAUUCAUUAAGAUAUCAAUUUCAUUCCCCUGAAUUCCUUAUUUUAUGUCACCCCUAGUUAAGAGAACACAGAUUCUUUUCUCAAUAUUGCAGAGACAGAGGGAUGCUCAAAACUCCUACAUCAGCUGAGAUAGAUAGGUGGGUGGGUUGGCUUGUAGGUAGGUAGUUAGGUAGGUAGAUAGACAGACAGACAGACACACACACACACACAAACAUACACACACAACACAUAUCCUGAAACAGACACACAUCACUCAGGUCCUGACCUCAGAUAGUCAGUUUUCCUGCAGUAUGUUCUCCGAUCAGGUCAACUCUGAUAAAUGAAACAUCAUUGGUAAGUAUUGAAAAAAAAAAAAUAUAUAUAUAUAUAUAUAGCACAGAAGAUGCUGCUGCUGCUGCUGCUAGCUAACAUUUGUUUAGUAUUAAUAUGUGCCAGGUACUAUUCUAAGCACUGUGCACAUAUUAAAUAAUGUAAACCGAAUAAGAACUCAGUAGAGUAGGUACCUUUAUUUUCUUCAUUUCCAUAUAAGACUGAGGCACCAGCAGCUUUCAUCCUUUGCGCAACACAACACAGCUAUGAAAUGAAAGAGUCAGAAGAUGAGCUCAGGUGGUCCAAGCCCAGAGCCCACACUCUUCAUCAUAUAUGAGGCAACAUUGGGAGAGGGUAGGUAGUUGCUAUGAGACCUAGUAAUGGUCAUCAACUCAGCAUUUUAUCACCCCUUUUUACAGUUAAUUAAGUAGGAUAUUUUAAUGCAACAGAAAUCAGGACAAAUUCUCAUUAUAGCCAGUCUGUAAAGAGAAAUGCUAAAUUAAGCCUCUUCAAUUUCAGAAAUGCUGAAAUCUAGUAUAUUUCCGGUCCUCCAACAUGAUGCGGCUAUGGACCUGAGAUAAGCUCUGAAUGCCUGUCUUUUCUCAUCCACAGUGAGACUCAUUCACCAGAAUCUGUGCAUGUUCAGAACAGAGAGACUUAGAAGCUAGAGGAGGUCACGCAAGGUCGUGUAGCAGAGGCAGUGCUGGGCAGCUCAGUGUGGGAGACCCUCCCAGUAUCCCUCUACUGUGUAUAAGGCAGAGUACACAUUCUAGAUAACAUUACAGCUUAUUGUACAUGGAUUCUAACUAACUCAGUAGAAAGCUUCAUGAAGAUGGGAGCUGUGUCCUGUUGAUCCAUAUCUAUCACCAGGACCUGGCCCAGUGCCUGAGACAGAAGACAUAACGGGUAAUUAACAAGGAGGAUUAUGCACAGGAGAACAAACAGAACACACCUCUCUAUUGCGACAACUCUCAUUCAAGCAGACUUAUUCUCCAGGCAGGUCACGUUCUAUGCCUGUAUUUCUGCUUUAUAAAUGGCUUGCAGGCCUGGCAGGUGCCAAAGAAAAAAUAAAAUGUCAUGCAGAAAAAUAGCGAUUUUAUUAAAUGAAAAA